AGGACGAACGCUGGCGGCGUGCUUAAUACAUGCAAGUCAACUUGACUUUAGAUAGCAAUAUCGAAAGUAGGGUGGCGCACGGGUGCGUAACGCGUAGGUAAUCUGCCCUGAGGUCUGACAUAACCCGUCGAAAGGCGGGCUAACAUCAGAUGAUAUAUAAUCACGACAUCGUGGAAAUAUCAAAUCUUCGGAGCCUUGGGAUGAGCCUGCGUCUGAUUAGGUAGUUGGCGGAGUAAUAGCCCACCAAGCCUACGAUCAGUAGCUGGUCUGAGAGGAUGAUCAGCCACACUGGAACUGAGACACGGUCCAGACUCCUACGGGAGGCAGCAGUAAGGAAUAUUGCUCAAUGGGGGAAACCCUGAAGCAGCAACGCCGCGUGAAGGAUGAAAUACUUUGUAUGUAAACUUCUGUAAGAUGGGAAAAAUAUUCUCCUCGGGAGAAUUGAUUGUACCAUCAGAGUAAGCCCCGGCUAACUACGUG
rnacentral:rRNA from 1 species